AUGCCUCUCCUCCUGGUGCUGCUGUCCCUCUGCAUAGGAUCCCGGGCCAGGUCCGAGCUGACGCAGCUGUCCUCGGUAUACGGGGCCCUGGACCAGAGCGUGGUCAUCUCCUGUGCUGGGAGCAGCUCCAACAUCAGAGCUGGUUACACUGUGCAGUGGUACCAACAGCUCCCGGGCAUAGUCCCCAAACUCCUGAUACCUGCGAGUAACAAGCGGCCCAAAGUCGUCCCUGAUCGGUUCUCAGGCGCUGUGUCUGGCACCUCAGGCUCGCUGACCAUCGCGGGGCUCCAGCCCGAAGAUGAGGCUGAGUAUAUCUGCCAGUUACAAAGCAGCAA